UAUGUAUCUUGCUUUACAUUUUCAUCAAACUAUUUUAAGAUGGAAACUUUCCAGACCAAAGAGAAGAAGACCUCAGGCCCUCUUUUGAAACAAAAUCAGAAAUAGCCACUGAGAAUGAUGAAUCAUUCAAGGCUAUGUUAAUAACAGAACCUCAACUAAACAAUGGAAAGCUUCAUCAGUGGGC